rnacentral:snRNA from 14 species
AGAACGUGGCAGAGGAGGCAUCGUGUUGAGGAAGACAAUUGUUCCAGGAUGCGGCUCGUCUCUCUCACUCUGGGUGUGCUGAUACUGCAGUUUUCCAAAACAUGAGAAAUCUGGCUGCGUAAUGUGGUAGUGGAGGACUGUAUUGUAUUCCUCCU